CAGCCAGAGCUCCAGGUGUCGUUUUCAUUUCUGUGUCCUCUUCCUAGAGGCCCAGCCUGUGUGGCCGUGUGACCUGCAGAUAUUGGGAGAUCCACAGCUAAGACUCCAGGACGCCCUGGAAGCCUAGAAAUGUGACUGUGCAUGACCUGUAGCCGUGUCUGGGGAGCUCUGCACGCGCAAUUCUGCAGUCUCUCCCAGAUUGUGCAAGAACCAUGGGAGGGGCGUCAGGCAUAGAGAUCUUAUGAGAAUGUUUUGGCAUCAAGGUUUUUCUUGGAAUUUUUGUGGGGUGAUGUGUCCUCAGCCACCCUUUAGUUUUUUUCCUGGUCCUAGGUUCCAGUACUGUCUGUGAAUAAACCAAGAUGUCAGUCAUGGC
rnacentral:sRNA from 1 species